rnacentral:rRNA from 1 species
CCUACGGGGGGCAGCAGUGAGGAAUAUUGGUCAAUGGCCGGAAGGCUGAACCAGCCAUGCCGCGUGAAGGUCAGUGCCCUAUGGGCGUUAAACUUCUUUUGUGCGGGAGCAAUAAUGGUCACGUGUGGCCAGACGAGAGUACCGUACGAAUAAGCAUCGGCUAAAUCCGUGCCAGCAGCCGCGGUAAUACGGGGGAUGCAAGCGUUAUCCGGGUUUAUUGGGUUUAAAGGGUGCGUAGGCUGUGAGGUAAGUCAGCGGGGAAAUGCCCCCGCUCAACGGGGUGAAGUGCCAUUGAUACUGCCUUGCUGGAAUGCGGAUGCCGUGGGAGGAAUGUGUGGUGUAGCGGUGAAAUGCAUAGAUAUCACACAGAACACCGAUUGCGAAGGCAUCUCACGAAUCCGCGAUUGACGCUGAUGCACGAAAGCGUGGGUAUCAAACAGGAUUAGAUACCCCUGUAGUC